UGCGCGGUGCGGGGUCACGCAGCCCUGCGUGGGCACAGCCCCCCCCUCCGCACGCUGCUUUUCCAAAGGUUUUCCGAGAAUUACCACCCCCCGCCUCGCAGCGAGCACCUCGCCCCAAACCCUUGAAAUUCAGCGCUUUGCUUACCAGCUUAAAAAACUUCCUCAGCCACACGAACCUGAGAAAGGUUUGAAGAUAACAUCAAAGAGUCUCUGCAGCCCCAGAGCCGGACGCAGAGGCAGAAAUGGCUGCCCCCCCCGCAGCAGCUUUCCGUACUACUGCCCCCAGGAGUUUAACUAAAUUAUUUCUGAAUUGAUGUAAGUUCCUGACAUCCAGCAGCAUCCCGUGAGAAAGAACUCUACAGCUGAAGUUUGGGGUUUUUUAAAAAAAAAGUACUUUCUUUUUGUUUGUCACUAUAUUUCUUUUGAUACUCUCUACUGCCUUUAUUUUGAGCAACAACUGAUCUUUCCUGUUCACCUUUUAUGUUACAGUAGCCAUUGCAUAUGCUUCUGUCAUCUUCCUUUCUGCCACUCCUUUCUGAGCCAAUGAAAAAAAAGGAUUUCCUAAUUUAUGUAGUCCUUGGUACAGACACCAUUCAAUACAUUUAUGCACUUUUCUCUCCGCAUUUUACCUUUUAGUUCUGCCAUUCUUUUUUGAGCUGGGGAGACCCCACAUGCAAGAUGGGGACUCACCAUGGACUUCUACAGCAGCACGAGAGAGAUUUUGCUUUGUUCUUUGCUCCUCUUUUGUGGAAGAAAUGAGCAUUUUGGGGGUGGGGUAGGGGGGGCAAGAGUGAUGAGGGAAUAAAUAUUCCCUGUCCCCUGCUGCCUGAGAUGACUGCAGCAUAACCUGCUUCCCCACGGAAUUGUAGAUUUAAUUUAUAUUUAUGAACAUUUUUGAGAUGAUCAAUCUAAUAAUUUUAAUCUGUAUUUCUAUUCACACAUACAUAUAAUCAAUUCACCAUCUAUUUGCUUGAAGGAAAUGAUUCAUUGCAUGAGUUGAAACAGUGGCUCAAUAAAGCAGCAGCCUAGCUUCUGGGAGCUCAUCAUUCAAAGAUUACAGUUUGG